CCACCUCCAGAUUUCGGCCUACCGUUGUCUCCGUACCUAUUAGGUGACGACCCAAGAUAUCCCUGAUGAUAAUGCUGACCACCCCCAACCUCCGGUCUAGCCCUCACUCCCUGACCACCCUUCGCAACAUCCGGGACCGGUUUCUCCUCCCUGCCUACAAAUCCCGGUCUCAGAUGUGGGGGCACGAACCGGUUCGACUUUGGCAAAGGCGACUGCAAAGGUGAAGGCGGAUUCACAGGAGAUGAUGAAAGUGAGGUGGUGGUGGUGGGUCCAGCCCCAGUACGGCCUUGUGGACGAAGCGAGAUAGAGUCAGAUUCAGCUCCAGCUCCAGCUCGGAUUUGAUCCGGUGCGCUCGGGCUUUGUAACUUUGGUUGUUGCUGGAUCGGAAUAGGCUGGGUUUGUGGAAUAGCGAUUGGCUUUGGAGUAGGCCGGCUCAGAACAAGCAUAUGUCCAUGGAUACGAGAGUUGGAGAUAAUAGUCUUGUUACGACUAUCGAACGACGACGACGAAGAAGAGUUUGAUUUACCAGAGGUGGCGGAGUUGGGAGUAGUUUUCUUCUCGUAGAUGUCGUUAAAGUUAAGGGAGGUAUAUUUAUUGGUUCUUGCCAUCCACCGCCGCCGCCGCGUUCCGCCGUGAAAGGAGAGGAAAAUGUAACUACCGGUGAUCGGAAAAAGAGAACAAAUGGCUUUUACGAUCUCGUUUUUUG
rnacentral:lncRNA from 1 species